rnacentral:ncRNA from 1 species
UGCGAAGAGCCGAAAUAAGCAUAGCUUAUUUUUUUGCUAGGAACCAUGUUUUCCGCCGAAUUGCGGAUGGUUUGAUUAGAUAGACGAUGUGAACGUC